UACGUAGGGGGCAAGCGUUGUCCGGAAUCAUUGGGCGUAAAGAGCGUGUAGGCGGCCUGGUAAGUCCGCUGUGAAAGUCCAGGGCUCAACCCUGGAAUGCCGGUGGAAACUGUCGGGCUCGAGUCCGGAAGAGGAGUGUGGAAUUCCUGGUGUAGCGGUGAAAUGCGCAGAUAUCGGGAGGAACACCGGUGGCGAAGGCGGUUCUCUGGGCCUGACCUGACGCUGAGGAGCGAAAGCGUGGGGAGCGAACAGG
rnacentral:rRNA from 1 species